GAGUCGAGGUACUGCGGCACGAACAGCGUCUUGGGCUCCAUGGUGAUGAAGCCGAUGUGCAUGAGCCCCUCGCGGCAGGCGAAGGACGCCGGCGGCCACGGCUGGCCGCGCACCACGCGCACCUGCCCGCCCUCCGACUCCACCACCUUCUCCACCCGGUGCAGCAGGAACAGCCCCCUCCCUUUGCCUUUGCCCUUCUCUUCCUCCUCGCUCGGCCUCCACUCCCCCUCGCCCUCCUCCCACCAGCCCCCGCCGCGCCGUGACGCCGCCGCCGAGCACCGCGAGAGGAGCAGCAGGAGGAGGACGAGCAGCGGCGGCGCCAUCACAGUGAGGCGAUCCAUAUUCACGCGCCUAGCUGGCUUCUUCCAAGAUUAAAACUUGCUAGAUCGCUUGCACUAGCUCUCUGGUCAGCUGUG
rnacentral:lncRNA from 1 species